AGGACGAACGCUGGCGGCGUGCUUAACACAUGCAAGUCGAACGGUAAGGCCUUUCGGGGUACACGAGUGGCGAACGGGUGAGUAACACGUGGGUGAUCUGCCCUGCACUUUGGGAUAAGCCUGGGAAACUGGGUCUAAUACCGAAUAUGACCAUUGGUUGCAUGACUGGUGGUUGAAAGCUUUUGCGGUGUGGGAUGGGCCCGCGGCCUAUCAGCUUGUUGGUGGGGUUAAGGCCUACCAAGGCGACGACGGGUAGCCGGCCUGAGAGGGUGUCCGGCCACACUGGGACUGAGAUACGGCCCAGACUCCUACGGGAGGCAGCAGUGGGGAAUAUUGCACAAUGGGCGCAAGCCUGAUGCAGCGACGCCGCGUGAGGGACGACGGCCUUCGGGUUGUAAACCUCUUUCAGUAGGGACGAAGCGCAAGUGACGGUACCUACAGAAGAAGGACCGGCCAACUACGUGCCAGCAGCCGC
rnacentral:rRNA from 1 species